AUGAGAAACAAGCUUAGAACUAAGCCUUAUUCACCUAAAUUGAAAACCGGGCAACAACUACACAUAUAUCAUUAUACCCCAAAAUUUCAUCUCAACAUGUUUGAUAAGUCGACACCACAAACAAGCUUCAUUCAAUUUUAUUUCCCACAAUGCGGUAUCGGCACCGAAAAUUCACAAACAACACCAUGA